CAUGCAAGUCGAACGAGAGAUGAGGAGCUUGCUCUUCAAAUCGAGUGGCGAACGGGUGAGUAACGCGUGAGGAACCUGCCUCAAAGAGGGGGACAACAGUUGGAAACGACUGCUAAUACCGCAUAAGCCCACAGCUCGGCAUCGAGCAGAGGGAAAAGGAGUAAUCCGCUUUGAGAUGGCCUCGCGUCCGAUUAGCUAGUUGGUGAGGUAAUGGCCCACCAAGGCGACGAUCGGUAGCCGGACUGAGAGGUUGAACGGCCACAUUGGGACUGAGACACGGCCCAGACUCCUAUGGGAGGCAGCAGUGGGGAAUAUUGCACAAUGGGGGAAACCCUGAUGCAGCGACGCCGCGUGGAGGAAGAAGGUCUUCGGAUUGUAAACUCCUGUUGUUGAGGAAGAUAAUGACGGUACUCAACAAGGAAGUGACGGCUAACUACGUGCCAGCAGCCGCGG
rnacentral:rRNA from 1 species